rnacentral:rRNA from 1 species
GAAUUUUGGACAAUGGGGGAAACCCUGAUCCAGCCAUUCCGCGUGAGUGAAGAAGGCCUUCGGGUUGUAAAGCUCUUUCGGCAGGGAAGAAACGCUCUGGCUUAAUACGCCGGGGUAAUGACGGUAACUGCAGAAGAAGCACCGGCUAACUACGUGCCAGCAGCCGCGGUAAUACGUAGGGUGCGAGCGUUAAUCGGAAUUACUGGGCGUAAAGCGUGCGCAGGCGGUUUUGUAAGACAGGUGUGAAAUCACCGGGCUUAACCUGGGAACUGCGCUUGUGACUGCAAGACUCGAGUACGGCAGAGGGGGGUGGAAUUCCACGUGUAGCAGUGAAAUGCGUAGAGAUGUGGAGGAACACCGAUGGCGAAGGCAGCCCCCUGGGUCGAUACUGACGCUCAUGCACGAAAGCGUGGGGAGCAAACAG